GGGGAAACCAGAAGGGCUGGGAACCAAAGGAGAAGCCCCAGGAGCACCUUCUCCACACCCUGCAACCAAGAAGUACCGCACAGCAGCAAAAUCCCUUUAUUUAGCCACUUUGGAGAGGCAAAGAUGCUUUUAAUAUACAAUUGCAUCUUGGAAACAUAAAGGCAGCACAUUAAAUAACAAAGCAAUUGACUGCUGGGUCCCUUUGCUGGGCCACAAAAAGCCGGGGCUCACUGGCUAAUUAUUGCCGGGCAUCCCUGUGCCUCUCCAAACAUACCAAUGCUUUCAGAAACCCACUCCAGCUGUGCCUGACAUUUCACUCCUAUUAAAAUUCAUCAUACUCCUGAAUGGAAAUAAUUUUUUUCUUUUGCAAACCCAGGUAGUAACGAAAGUUUUAUUUAGUAAUGUCGUGUUUGGUGGGAAAAGGGGUAGAGAAAAGGGAAGAGAAAUUGAGAUUAUCUUUUAAAAAAAAGGGAACUUCAGGUGGGGGAAAAGACAUUGCUGGGUAUUUCUUGGGCACAGGGGGCCAUUUUCGCUGCCGUGCUUGGAGGCUUGGUCUCACAGCUCUCGUUGAUGGGACCAGAACAGCCAAACAGCUGGAAAAAAGCUGUGACAGAAACACAACCGAUGAACGAUGCUGAACUCGCUGCCUGAGCCGGGCGGGCCCGGGGGACGGGUGCAAAUCGAGGUGGGGUGGCGGCGAUUUGUAUCAGCUCCGGAUUCUGCCACAUUAAAGCCGGACGCGAGCGAUGGCUCCGGCCCCGGGCGCUGCUCCCGGCUCCGCCACCGCCUUCCCCCGCGGCAUUCCCAGCUCUUCCAGCCGUCCUGCCCCAGCCCGCCCGGCAGCAGCACAGCGGGACAAGGCUUUGGGGGUUAUUUUCCCUGGGGAACCCGCGCCCUCCCGGCGGUGGCUGCCGGCUCAGCCCUGCCACACGAGCGCAGCCCUUCCCUCCGUCAGGACAAAAGCGAUCCGGGGACAGCUAAAGAUGAUUUGGGCCGACCCCAAAGGAUGGAUCUCAAGGGACGCGAGGGACAGGUCACGAACAGCUGGAGGAGGAUGGGGGCGGGCAGCGCAGCUCAUCCCCAGAGAGAAAACAGUUUCUGAGCCAUCCCUUCUCCUCUGGCAUCAAAGAAAGGAAGUCCAACACCAACCAGUGUGGAUCCAAAGACGUGAAAUCGCAGUGUUCAUCUUUAGACCAAGGAAGAGGCUCCCGCUGGAGCAGGAGCAACAGGGCAGCAUCAGAGAGGCACCACCCAAGUCAAGGUGA
rnacentral:lncRNA from 13 species